GUCUUGCCACCCCAGAUGAUUGAGUAAUAUAUAAAGACAUUAUAUAUAUAUAUAUAUAUAUAUAUAUAUAUAUAUAUAUAUAUAUAUAUAUAUAUAUAUAUAUUAUGUGUUUAUAUAUUACUCAGUCAUCUGGGGUGGUAACGU